AGACAGUAUAAAAGCUCUUGUACUUUCAGCUCUUCCCACCGCUUCUCUUGACGUUGUGUCCUCAGUGAACAGGGUCAACCUCCAGCGCAGAAAGAUGACUUUCGACGGAAGCAUUAUUGAGUUGUGUUACAACCCCUGGAGUCAUGGGUGCUGGCAUGGCUCCCGGAGCCAUUUUAGCUACACGAGGCCAUGUGGCAAUUGGGGGGCCUCCAGGGGUGGAUGGAAUCAUGUGUAUGAUUGCUCCAGACCUUGCUCUUCCCAAUGGGGCCACUGGUACCCCUGUGGAAAGCAUUGGCCCUGUUAAACCCAGCAGGAACGGCCCAGAAACAAGGGACACGAGCAGCAGGAUGUGGAUUCCCGGCUGAGCUUUGGUAGAAUGGCUUUCGGAAACACUGGGCACCUGUGACUCCAAUGGGGGCUGCGAGCGCCCAGAACCUCUCUAAAAUACCCCAGAUCUGUAUUUCCCAUGUGGCCUUCAGGGCUGUCUGCCUCUAACUCUCCAGGGGGCCUGAAUCCGAAUUUCACGCCGACUCCUUUAUGCCACUCUGGCAGUGUAAACGAAGCAAGGGCCUUACGCUAGAACGUUUACCCCCCCCCCUCCCCAGCAUGUUUCUUACGGAGCAGCGCACGAGGGACGUGGUGCCAAGGAGAAUUAGGCCCUCGCUUUUCUACCCCUUUCUGUCGUGUUUGUUUCCAGCUUUCAUUUGGCUACAGAAAAUGUAUCUUGAAGUGGCGUAGUGCCCUGCUCCUCCUGUGCUUUGGCGCAGUUAACUCUGACGGGGAUGAAACUCUGGCCGGGGUUACCAGUGGGACCUGACUGUCAAGCGUGACAACUGCCUGGAAGAAAGAGGGAGAGCUGGUGUGAAAUGCCUUGCCUUGGAAGGGGUGAUAUGUUGCCAACCAACUUGAAGCGCCGGAAAUAGAUUCUUUUCAUUUGCAUUCUCUCUGUUUCCUUUUGCUCCUCUUCUCAUUCGCAUUAAACUGACUCUGCAUUGCAA